GAUGAACGCUGGCGGCGUGCCUAAUACAUGCAAGUCGAGCGAACAGACGAGGAGCUUGCUCCUCUGACGUUAGCGGCGGACGGGUGAGUAACACGUGGAUAACCUACCUAUAAGACUGGGAUAACUUCGGGAAACCGGAGCUAAUACCGGAUAACAUGUUGAACCGCAUGGUUCAACAGUGAAAGACGGUCUUGCUGUCACUUAUAGAUGGAUCCGCGCCGCAUUAGCUAGUUGGUAAGGUAACGGCUUACCAAGGCAACGAUGCGUAGCCGACCUGAGAGGGUGAUCGGCCACACUGGAACUGAGACACGGUCCAGACUCCUACGGGAGGCAGCAGUAGGCAAUCUUCCGCAAUGGGCGAAAGCCUGACGGAGCAACGCCGCGUGAGUGAAGAAGGUCUUCGGAUCGUAAAACUCUGUUAUUAGGGAAGAACAAAUGUGUAAGUAACUAUGCACGUCUUGACGGUACCUAAUCAGAAAGCCACGGCUAACUACGUG
rnacentral:rRNA from 1 species